UACAGAGGGGGCAAGCGUUGUUCGGAAUUACUGGGCGUAAAGGGCGCGUAGGCGGCCUGCUAAGUCGAACGUGAAAUCCCCGGGCUCAACCCGGGAACUGCGUCCGAUACUGGCAGGCUUGAAUCCGGGAGAGGGAUGCGGAAUUCCAGGUGUAGCGGUGAAAUGCGUAGAUAUCUGGAGGAACACCGGUGGCGAAGGCGGCAUCCUGGACCGGCAUUGACGCUGAGGCGCGAAAGCGUGGGGAGCAAACAGG
rnacentral:rRNA from 1 species